UGGGGAAUAUUGGACAAUGGGCGAAAGCCUGAUCCAGCCAUGCCGCGUGAGUGAAGAAGGCCUUUGGGUUGUAAAGCUCUUUUAGUGAGGAAGAUAAUGACGGUACUCACAGAAGAAGUCCUGGCUAACUCCGUGCCAGCAGCCGCGGUAAUACGGAGAGGGCUAGCGUUAUUCGGAAUUAUUGGGCGUAAAGGGCGCGUAGGCUGGUUAAUAAGUUAAAAGUGAAAUCCCGAGGCUUAACCUUGGAAUUGCUUUUAAAACUAUUAAUCUAGAGAUUGAAAGAGGAUAGAGGAAUUCCUGAUGUAGAGGUAAAAUUCGUAAAUAUUAGGAGGAACACCAGUGGCGAAGGCGUCUAUCUGGUUCAAAUCUGACGCUGAAGCGCGAAGGCGUGGGGAGCAAACA
rnacentral:rRNA from 1 species